GUGAAUGAUGAAGGCCUUAGGGUUGUAAAAUUCUUUCGCCAGGGAUGAUAAUGACAGUACCUGGUAAAGAAGCCCCGGCUAACUUCGUGCCAGCAGCCGCGGUAAUACGAAGGGGGCUAGCGUUGUUCGGAAUUACUGGGCGUAAAGCGCGCGUAGGCGGGCUAUUAAGCCAGAUGUGAAAGCCCGGGGCUCAACCUCGGAAUUGCAUUUGGAACUGGUAGCCUAGAGACCAGGAGAGGUUAGCGGAAUACCGAGUGUAGAGGUGAAAUUCGUAGAUAUUCGGUGGAACACCAGUGGCGAAGGCGGCUAACUGGACUGGUACUGACGCUGAGGCGCGAAAGUGUGGGGAGCAAACAGGAUUAGAUACCCUGGUAGUCCACACCGUAAACGAUGAAUGCUAGUUGUCUGCGCGCAUGCGUGCAGGUGACGCAGCUAACGCAUUAAGCAUUCCGCCUGGGGAGUACGGCCGCAAGGUUAAAACUCAAAGAAAUUGACGGGGGCCCGCACAAGCGGUGGAGCAUGUGGUUUAAUUCGAAGCAACGCGCAGAACCUUACCCGCGUUUGACAUGCCCUGUUUGGUUACCAGAGAUGGUUUCCUUCAUUUAGUUGGCAGGUGCACAGGUGCUGCAUGGCUGUCGUCAGCUCGUGUCGUGAGAUGUUGGGUUAAGUCCCGCAACGAGCGCAACCCUUAUCCUUAGUUGCCAGCACGUUUGGGUGGGC
rnacentral:rRNA from 1 species